CCCAUCCAUACUGCCUAGAUCCCUGC
rnacentral:piRNA from 1 species